rnacentral:rRNA from 1 species
CGGUGUCAACUGGCGUGUCGCAGGACGUCCUGCCGGUGGACUUAGCCGCGUCGUCGUCUCGCGCGGCGUCGUGGCGGUCCAACUUCAACAAUCCCACCGCGGUGCUCUUCGCUGAGUGUCGAGGUGGGCCGGCACGUUUACUUUGAACAAAUUAGAGUGCUUAAAGCAGGCUAAAAUUUCGCCUGAAUACUGUGUGCAUGGAAUAAUGGAAUAGGACCUCGGUUCUAUUUUGUUAGUUUUCGGAACCCCGAGGUAAUGAUUAAUAGGAACGGAUGGGGGCAUUCGUAUUGCGACGUUAGAGGUGAAAUUCUUGGAUCGUCGCAAGACGGACUUAAGCGAAAGCAUUUGCCAAAAACGUUUUCAUUGAUCAAGAACGAAAGUUAGAGGUUCGAAGGCGAUCAGAUACCGCCCUAGUUCUAACCAUAAACGAUGCCAGCUAGCGAUCCGCCGACGUUCCUCCGAUGACUCGGCGGGCAGCUUCCGGGAAACCAAAGCUUUUGGGUUCCGGGGGAAGUAUGGUUGCAAAGCUGAAACUUAAAGGAAUUGACGGAAGGGCACCACCAGGAGUGGAGCCUGCGGCUUAAUUUGACUCAACACGGGAAAACUCACCAGGCCCGGACACCGGAAGGAUUGACAGAUUGAGAGCUCUUUCUUGAUUCGGUGGGUGGUGGUGCAUGGCCGUUCUUAGUUGGUGGAGCGAUUUGUCUGGUUAAUUCCGAUAACGAACGAGACUCUAGCCUGCUAAAUAGGCGUACUUUCGACAUCGCAAAGGCCAGCCGGUCCGGCGUUCGCGUCGCGACCGCGCUCGGUUU